rnacentral:tmRNA from 1 species
GGGGGCGAAAGGUCUCGACGGGGGUUAUGAGGCUCAGGUGGCAUGCCGUGGCUCCAUCACCACGUAAAAAGGUGGAACACUUACAAACGCCAACAACGAACUGGCACUCGCUGCUUAAUUAAAGCAGCACGUCUUUCCGGGUGCGCCUGCGGCCCGGCAGGACGCAAGCAGCAGGAUAAGCUUCCGGAGGGCCCUCUGACGGAAGACGAAAACCAAACGGGGGAUGGGCGUGCGCCGGGCGCGGCUAUUCGCAUGGCGCUUGCCGAGACUCAAAUAAAUGGCCUAAGCAUGUAGAGGCUUGAGAGUAGUGCUUUCGGACGCGGGUUCGACUCCCGCCGCCUCCACCA